AAAAAUGAAAAAAUCAGCAUGAGAUGCAAAUGGCUCCAGACUGAUUCCUGCAAAGGGUUUUAAUUCAAUUUGGGAACCAUGCCUGGGUAACCAAAAACAUUGGAUAAAAUCAUCUAGAAGUCUUUUGGACUGAACUUUGAUCCAGCAGAAGACACCAACUUCUGUAUUUGCUUUAUGGAACAUAUGAGGAAAACUGCCUUCAUCUUUAUCUUUUUUUCCAGUAAGACUAACCCAGCUACAUUCUGCAUUUUGUUAUUGAACCCCAACCAUCUGAAGUGGGAAGAGAUGGCUUUUUCAUUGAUGACAUCCCAAUUAUGGAAGAUUCAAAGAGGUUUACCUUCUAUCCAUUUUAUUAUUGUUCAGACUUGGGUUAAGAUUUUUCUAUUUACCAAAUAUAAUGAUAGUUCAAUAU